rnacentral:misc_RNA from 1 species
GAAAUGCGAUAAGUAAUGUGAAUUGCAGAAUUCAGUGAAUCAUCGAAUCUUUGAACGCACAUUGCGCCCGCCAGUAUUCUGGCGGGCAUGCCUGUUCGAGCGUCAUUACAACCCUCAGGCCCCCGGGCCUGGCGUUGGGGAUCGGCGGAAGCCCCCUGCGGGCACAACGCCGUCCCCCAAAUACAGUGGCGGUCCCGCCGCAGCUUCCAUUGCGUAGUAGCUAACACCUCGCAACUGGAGAGCGGCGCGGCCACGCCGUAAAACACCCAACUUCUGAAUGUUGACCUCGAAUCAGGUAGGAAUACCCGCUGAACUUACGC